rnacentral:tRNA from 1 species
UCGGAUAUGGUGUAACGGCUAACAUUGUCGCCUCUCAUCACAUAACGGAUAUGUUUUGCGGCAACUCGGGGUUCGAUUCCCCGUAUCCGAA